GCGGACGGAUGGGAGCUUGCUCCCUGAAGUCAGCGGCGGACGGGUGAGUAACACGUGGGCAACCUGCCUGUAAGACUGGGAUAACUCCGGGAAACCGGGGCUAAUACCGGAUAACUCUUUUCCUCACAUGAGGAAAAGCUGAAAGAUGGUUUCGGCUAUCACUUACAGAUGGGCCCGCGGCGCAUUAGCUAGUUGGUGAGGUAACGGCUCACCAAGGCCACGAUGCGUAGCCGACCUGAGAGGGUGAUCGGCC
rnacentral:rRNA from 1 species